rnacentral:rRNA from 1 species
CCUACGGGUGGCUGCAGUGAGGAAUUUUGGUCAAUGGUCGGGAGACUGACCCAGCCAAGCCGCGUGAGGGAUGAAGGUACUGAGUAUCGUAAACCUCUUUUGUCAGGGCACAAAGGCGGGGACGUGUCCCCGGAUGAGUGUACCUGAAGCAUAAGCAUCGGCUAACUCCGUGCCAGCAGCCGCGGUAAUACGGAGGAUGCGAGCGUUAUACGGAUUUAUUGGGGUGAAAGGGUGCGUAGGCGGUCGGAUAAGUUAGAGGUGAAAUCCCGAGGCUCAACUUCGGAAUUGCCUCUGAUACUGUUCGGCUAGAGAGUAGUUGCGGUAGGCGGAAUGUAUGGUGUAGCGGUGAAAUGCUUAGAUAUCAGACAGAACACCGAUGGCGAAGGCAGCAUACCGGCGCCCAACUGACGCUGAAGCACGAAAGCGUGGGUAUCGAACAGGAUUAGAUACCCCGGUAGUC